AACCUUUCCAACCCACCAUCCAAUUUCUGGCACAGCGGCACACUUCCUGCACAUGAACCAUGUAUGCACAUCAUUUGGAUGGGAGUUAUCCUUGCUACGCCGGUACACAGCUUUGAUGUCGAUACAGUCAUUUAAGCAUACACCUGCAAGACGCUCACUGAAGCUUGGUGGUACAUCAAAUUUGUAUGGCUCCUUGAGUGCAUCACUAGUGCGCCAGAUUUCCAACGGCCACAAGUUCCUUAGUACCGAGUCCUGGAUGGCCUGCAAGGCGUAAUAUCAUUUGCCGACGUUCGGUAAGUACACCAUGAUGCUCAUUUCAACCAGACAUACGUACCCAUGCACCCACCCUAAAACCCUAAAACCCUGCACAGGAGAACAGAGGAGAGCAAUGGGACAGCAGAGAUAAGCAGGACAUGGUAAGGGAGGGCUGAGAAAGCAAGGGAUGGCAGAAGAGAGCAAGAGAGGGCAAUAUUGCCCUCCAUUAAUCCCUAUGGCAUACUCCAGGCCGGUUCCGGCCCGGUUCCGACCUAACGGGU
rnacentral:lncRNA from 1 species